rnacentral:lncRNA from 1 species
UUUUAUCAAAUGGAAUUUCACAAAGUUUGUUGUGGAUAAAAAAGGAGUUCCCGUCGCCCGAUUCGCUCCUACACAAGACCCCUUACCGAAAGUAGAAGAAGAAAUCAGGAACUACUUAUAAAUCGAAUCAUAUCUGACUAGAACUUUUGAAGAAAAAUCUACGAGUGUCUUAUGACGAGUUCCACCUCAAGCUUUGUCUCCAAAGUGGUGUUAAUCUGAUGUUUAUUUACUAGUGAUUUUCAUAUAUUGUCAAAGUCAACUAUAUUAUUUUAUAACAAAAAUUAAAAAAUAAUUAGGCUGCAUAGCUCAAUAGUUAUCCAAUGAAUAACAAUUUGUAUCCAUUAGUUAAGUGGUUUAUGAAUUACAAUCCCUAUCGCAAAGGUA